UGCUUUAUACUUAUCUGUGCUGCAGCAAAUCACCAGGAAAGGCUCAAGAUGGCAGGGAACCAGGGCCUUGCUGGCUUGCGUCUUCCUCCCAUGGAAAGCACCGAACGUUCCCAAUGCUUAUUCCUGAAUCAUCCAAGAAGUCCUGCAGUAACAGAAGGGGAAACAACACUUCACAAUCCUCAUCCUUCACUGACAGGGAAAACAGCUUAAUCGUGUCCCUUUCCUGACUGCACAACCCCAUGGGAGUCAGUUCCAACACAAAACAAUGAAAAGACUGUGAGUGGGGCAGGAGCAGAGAAUGACCUCCUGGAAGCUCUGCUGCAUCUGCACAAUACUGCUGGGAGGGAACUUCUGGUAGAGAAGAGGAAAUACAGCAAAGCUGGACAGUAGCACCGCAGCCCAGAGAGAAGUGCUGCACAGUGCCAGAAUAACUGGAAAUGCAAAGUCCUGUGCAGAUCCACUGUUGAACGACAACACUUCAUGCUUGCAGAACUUCUGCUCAAACAAGGCCAGCAAAGCAAGCAUACAGGAGGUGACAUGCAGGUUUCUGAGGACAUCUGUUGGCCUAGCUGUGGCGAGGAGAAGGGCAGCUCGGCUUUCCCCUUGCCUCUUGUGCUGCUGCCCUGCCCCAUCCACCAGGACGGUUGCUCACCCAGUGCCCUGAUGCCUUGUGCCCGGCCACUGCUGCUGCUGGUGGUGGCCUUGUUUGAACUAGAAAGUUUUCCUGGCAGUUCUGCUGGCAUGUGCUACAGACAUAGCAGUGUUGGCAGGAUGCGCUCAAAUUUGGCUGUUUUUUAAAGACGCAAUGUGUCCUCAGAGCAUCAGGCUUUUAUCAGCAGAAGCAGCCUGGCAUUAUGGGAGGCUCACCCAGAACACCUUGUGCUGCGUUUGGUGGAGUGCCUUCUGGUGGUUUCUUGCAGCAUAUUGUGGAGCUGCCAUUGUAUACUGUGAGAUACCAUCAGUCAUAUCAUAAAAUCUGUGUAAAUAUUGGGUCAGAUUUUCAAAAAAAUUUCUGUUUUGUGCAACAACCUAUUUUUACAUGUGUUGUUUUCCCAUAUUGCAGAUUUGUCAUUGC